rnacentral:rRNA from 1 species
UACGGAGGGGGCUAGCGUUGUUCGGAAUACUGGGCGUAAAGGGUGCGUAGGCGGGUCUUUUAAGUCAGGGGUGAAAUCCUGGAGCUCAACUCCAGAACUGCCUUUGAUACUGAGGAUCUUGAGUUCGGGAGAGGUGAGUGGAACUGCGAGUGUAGAGGUGAAAUUCGUAGAUAUUCGCAAGAACACCAGUGGCGAAGGCGGCUCACUGGCCCGAUACUGACGCUGAGGCACGAAAGCGUGGGGAGCAAACAGG